rnacentral:rRNA from 1 species
GAUGAACGCUGGCGGCGUGCUUAACACAUGCAAGUCGAACGGAAAGGCCCCUCUUUGCGGGUGCACUCGAGUGGAGCGGGGGUGUGUAACACGUGGGUGAUCUGCCCUGCACUUGGGGAAACGUUUGAGACAGUGGGUAUAAUUCCGGAUAGGAAUGCUGUAUGGGGGGUGUGGGGGAAAGUAUUUUCGGUGGGGGAUGAGCUCGCGGCCUAUCAGCUUGUUGGUGGGGUAAUGGCCUACCAAGGCGUCGACGGGUAGCCGGCCUGAGAGGGUGUACGGCCAUAGGGGGACGGUAAUACGGACCAGACUACGAGGGGAGGCAGCAGUGGAGAAUGUAGCACAAGGGGAGCAAGCCUGAUGCAGCGCCGCCGGGUGGGGGAUGACGUCCUGCGGGUUGUAAACUCCUUGCGAUGGGGACGAAGAGGAAGUGACGGUACCUGGAGAAGAAGCACCGGCUAACUACGUG